rnacentral:rRNA from 1 species
UACGAAGGGGGCUAGCGUUGUUCGGAUUUACUGGGCGUAAAGCGCACGUAGGCGGAUCGUUAAGUCGGGGGUGAAAUCCUGGAGCUCAACUCCAGAACUGCCUUCGAUACUGGCGAUCUUGAGUCCGGAAGAGGUGAGUGGAACUCCUAGUGUAGAGGUGGAAUUCGUAGAUAUUAGGAAGAACACCAGUGGCGAAGGCGGCUCACUGGUCCGGUAC